UACGUAGGCAGCGAGCGUUGUUCGGAGUUACUGGGCGUAAAGGGUGUGUAGGCGGUUGUUUAAGUUUGGUGUGAAAUCUCCCGGCUCAACUGGGAGGGUGCGCCGAAUACUGAAUGACUAGAGUGCGGGAGAGGAAAGUGGAAUUCCUGGUGUAGCGGUGAAAUGCGUAGAUAUCAGGAGGAACACCGGUGGUGUAGACGGCUUUCUGGACCGUAACUGACGCUGAGACACGAAAGCGUGGGGAUCAAACAGG
rnacentral:rRNA from 1 species